rnacentral:snoRNA from 1 species
GGUAAUGAUGACCCCUGGUGAUUCUGAGUGUCCCGCUGACGCCAUCACCGCAGCGCUCUGACC